GAUGGAAUGGCCGAGUUUAGGCAGUAAACUGUAAAUUUACUUACGAAAAUUAAUUUCUUCCAUCA
rnacentral:tRNA from 1 species